rnacentral:rRNA from 1 species
GGCCGCAGUAUUUUGACUGUGCAAAGGUAGCAUAAUCAUUAGUCUUUUAAUUAAGGGCUAGUAUGAAUGGUUGGACGAGGUGAAUUCUGUUUUAUGUUAAUUUAGAUUGAACUUAGGUUUUAAGUAAAAAAUCUUAAAUGUUAUUAAGGGACGAGAAGACCCUAUAGAGUUUAAUAUAUGUAAUAAUAUAAUUGAGUUAAAAUUUAAUUUUUGAUUAUUAUGAAAUUUAUUUAAUUGGGGUGAUUAAGAGAUAAGUAAAACUCUUUUUAAACUUUAAUAGUAUAAUUAGAUGUAUGAUCCAUAAUUAAUGAUUAAGAGAUUAAAUUACCUUAGGGAUAACAGCAUAA